AGAGAGCACCAGCCAGGCAUGCAGGCGGGCAUGCACAGCCACCCAGGAAAAUGAAGGUCCAUGGAGUUGUGAAAAGUAAAGGAGAGAGAAUCUGAUUACUGGGAAUCGUUAGAGCCAUUUCCUCCACUCUCUUCAUGUUAUUUACCCAUUUUCACCUGAGGAGCCUGAGACACAGGUGAUGAGCAACGAAUCCGACACUGUGGCCGGUAUCGCUCCAAAGUCAAGUCCGCGUCUCUCGCAUGGAAUCUUACAGUUAACUCGGCCUCGCAAGGAAACCCCGCUAGGAAGAAUUUCCCACAGUUCCUCAUCGCAGUUCUUAAGGAUAGAUCAACAAGAAAAGACCACUGCCCAGCAGUUGAAAUUCCUAAGAACCCAACUUACAAAAGCAGGGCCCCCUGGCAUGGUGGAGCCAGGCUGAAGCGUUCCAUUGUCAGAUUGCUGUUCACGGCAGAUCAAUGGCAUUGCUGUAGUGUGCCAUCUCUUCCAGAGAGCAAGAAAACAGGUGCCCAGAGGUCACCAAGACAACACGAAGAACCCAUGUUACUCCAUGGGAUGAUAGCUUUCUCUAGUAAGAAGUUCCACAAAAUGACACAUGCCAUCCCUGCAAAUACUGGAUGUAGAAAUGAC
rnacentral:lncRNA from 1 species